AUGAUCAAAAGUGUCAAGGUUCAUUUAUGGACCAAAUUUUUAAAUGAAAGUUUAAAUAUGAUGUACACUGAAACUAAUGGUGUAGUAACCUUAAUCAUGACAAUGUUAUUAACGCAACUAUUCCAAGAUAUUUUUAAAUUAAAUGAAAUAGUAUUAAUAUUGGAAACAAUGUUGUUGAAAUUACCAUGUCAUAAGACUAUAAUACUGUGUACUUUCAACUUUGUUAUUAUAGUCAAAAGUUAUACUUUUUGAAGUCAAAUAGACUACAUGUGUAGUGAUAAGAAAAGAAUAAUGUUCUCGAUUUUACCAUGGCCAUGGUAUAAAUUGCAACCUAGAAAAAGAUCUCAAGCUCAUCCCCAGUGAAGGACGCCAUUUUUGCCUAUCAGUUCUUUCGCAUGGUUAGGUGGAUAAUUUACUUUGUUAUUGAAAGCAAAAAAAAAUUAAUGAAGCAUCAAAGUAGCGACAGAUCAGAGAUACAUGAGGAUCAAGAGAUUGAUGCCCGUGAUAAAAUUCAUAGAAAAUUACUAUUGGGAAGUGGCUUCCCCAUGGUGUUCUAGCUCAAUUGUUGACACAUCAUGAAGAUCAAUUUGGUGUAUAAGACAUUGGUGACUUUAUUUACUGUACCGUGGGCUGGCGCUAUACAUAUUUUUGUUGUAUGCUUGCACGCGCUGUUGUGCCACUAUUCAAUCCGAUUCCAUGAGCCGGAAUUAUUCCACUGGAAAGGCUCAUCGGAUCAGUAUUCGUACGUCGGUAGCCUUAGCGAAUCUUCCACAAAAAAACGUAAAUUCCUCUUGAGCGCGUACCACCCAUUCCACCCGAUAAAGUUUUGCAGCUUUUAGUUGGACGGUCAUCACAUCCAACGAGCCGGGCGUAGUCAGCUAAGCACCAAUCGCGCCAACUGUUAGUGGCUUCGGAAAAUCUUCAAGUUCUGGAACAGUUCUUUGAUCAACGCGUCACUACAUCUCCGUUCUAUAAAGUCUGAGAAUCAUUAAGUUAAUUCGAUUAGAUUUUAUUUCAUUCCGUACUUUUUUGUACUGUGUACAAAUUAUCAAAAACUUAAAAAUAUAAUUAUACAAAAUUUAUUUACUAAAAAAAUAUAUAUUAUUUAGUAUAGAUAUACGCAUUAUGUAUCAGAUUACAAAUUUUCCAAAUAUCGGACGAUCAUAAAGAUCAGUUCUAUAGGUAUAUUGUACAAAUUUGCAUACCUGAAUGCAUUAUGCGUGAAUCGUUAUAAAGGAUUUAAUAAUUUUAGAUAAAUACAUGUAUUCUGUAAAAUCCACUUCAUGGCUUUUGUUAUUUUAAAUGCAAUUACUGGUUGAAAAUUCCACUGAAAGUUGUAUUCGUAGCUACCAUGUCCUAAUCAGUAAAAUUUACUACACGAUAGUCGUAACUUUGAAUGCAAGAGAUGGUUGAAAAAAUAACUUUUAUUUGUCAUCAAUAAAACCAUGAAACAUGGUAGUUUUGACUGAUUCAGUCUUGCAUUGCCACCAUGGUAAAAAUAACGACACGAAGAGUUCGAAAUGAAUGCACUGCGUAGUCUGCACAAAUAAAGUGGUGCUGUGCAUUUAAUUUAAACCAUCAACAUGGUAAUUUUUACCGCAAUGCUGUUUUCAGUGUAGCCAUGAUUUGAGCGGGAAAAAAUGCUAA
rnacentral:lncRNA from 1 species